CAUAUACACAUACAAACACAGAUUUGCCUUACAGUUUCAGUAGUCUUGCUAAUGUAGAAAACCUCAUAAUUGGGAAUGACAUUGGUGUCCUUCGUUGUGGAAUUAAAAACAAUCAUGACAUUUGUGUUCCCUGUAUAUACCUUCCCUAAAAUAACUUUACUACCCAUCCUGCACUUCAGUGCUAAUGCUUUAUUGAUUAUUCAAAUGUUCCUCUGUGCAUCCCUGGGUAUUUCCUCUUAAACACAAAGCUGAUGGGUAAUCCUAUCCUGUCUGCGUGUAAAGGGAUACAGUGCAGUUCUGUGAAACUAAAGCCUCCUCUUUACGAGGACAACCCAUCAUCACUGCCUCCUGCCACACAGAACUUUCCGUGAUGAGACAUGCAAACCUGCAGCGUCAACAAAUACUCUGAGCUGAAUUCAUGUCAUUCUCUCUUUAAAACUUAUGAUGCAAUUAAUGAUGCAUAUAAACACAGACAUAAGAGGCUGCUUUUCAUUAUCACAGGUAGUUAAUUAUCACUACAGUAGUUAAGAUUCAAGAUUUGUAUUUGUCACAUACAUCGUUGUAUGCAGAGCAUAUGACCAGCAGUGAAUAGAAGUAACUACACCAAAUGAAGAUUAUAUCUUAUAAAACUCAACUUUACUGGCAGUUUGAUUUAUCUUUGUCAUCAGUAAAGAACACCGAUAUUCCCAAAGUCUUAAUUUCUGUUUUUUUCUUCUCAAGUUUUCAAGAGCAAUUUCCCAGCUAGAGCUGCCUAUCAAGUAGCUGCCCUGCCCAGAGGGGGACUUGUUGAGAUUGAAGCGAUCGCUGUGUUGGGGCCCAUCACGGAUGCCUCCUGACUACAUGAACCCAGCAUGCAUCACAAGUCAUAAAUACAGUUAUAGGAAACAAACCAUAUGCCAGAUUACAAAAUCAAUCAAGACUUUUAUCCUCCCAUUAAACUGAUAACAGGGAAUUCACUUGUUGCCCAUUUUGCUAAUAUUAUAUAUAAUCUUUCACCAUUACAUGUUCUGUAAUAGCAACGAUUCAAAGCCAAGUUCAGUUCAACUUUAUUUUUAAACUCGUCAUUUUCACAUUAAAAUCAAAUCACAACACAAAAACAUUACUUCCAUUUGUUGAGUUUAAUCUGUCAUGUUUGUUGCAAGAAAAUAUAAGCAUACAAUAAAUAAAACCAAAAAGCCUGUUUUUCAAA